rnacentral:pre_miRNA from 1 species
UCUUUGGGACGAGCAGAGGAAGUGGUUUCUCGAGAUGGAAUCUACUCCUGGUGAAGAUGCUGUGAA